rnacentral:rRNA from 1 species
UGGGUUGCAAAAGAAGUAGGUAGCUUAACCUUCGGGAGGGCGCUUACCACUUUGUGAUUCAUGACUGGGGUGAAGUCGUAACAAGGUAACCGUAGGGGAACCUGCGGUUGGAUCACCUCCUUACCAAGAAGAUGUGUGUUGCGUGAAGUGCUCACACAGAUUGUCUGAUGAA